GCCGGUGUAGCCCAAUUGGAAGAGGCACCUGACUUAGGAUCGGGCCAGUCGGGGUUCGAGUCCUCGCACCGGCA
rnacentral:tRNA from 1 species